GCGCCCGGGCUCCCCACCGCGCACGCGCGCCAGUGCCUCGGACGCGGCGAAGAGGGACCCGGAAGUGGCGGUGCCGAGGGGCUGCCGUUCCUCCUGGGUGAGAACCGCGGUGUCUGUUCCUCUGCCGCCCUCUCGUCCUCAUUCUUUCGUAGACUGGGAUGAAUACACCAGGGUACUCUGGACGUGGGGGGUUUUAUGAAAUUUGAGUCUUUCAGAUUAAAACUAAAAACCCGACUGCCGAAACCCGGGAUCGAACCAGGGACCUUUAGAUCUUCAGUCUAACGCUCUCCCAACUGAGCUAUUUCGGCGCCUUCCGCAGGGCUCUUGGGCUAAGCUAUUACUGAGCACUCCACGUCCAAUUGUCACACUUGCAUUUUCUAAUGAGCACUUGCAAAGUUCCGCGAUUUCUUUGUCCUGCUCCACGGUAACCGCCCUCCCGCCCGCCAUUCCCCAUCCCGGAUCCGACGCGCUCCACCUCCGCGCCCGCAGCCCGGGCGAUGGCUCCCGGGGACUGGAACUGGGGGUCCCAGGGAGCCGAUUCCCUGCUACACGUGCGUCACCGUGCGGGAAAGUUCCAGGGUCCCCCCGACGAGCGGUGUUGGCGCAAAACUAUUGUAUGGAGUGGACAGGGCCUCAGAGGCAAGAAUAGCGGUCCGCCCGCCUCCGGUGCGGAGUUUGCACCCUCCGGUGCACCUGGGUGCGGGAGCGCCCGCCUUAAUUAUCAUCUCUUUGAGUGGAGCCUGCUUGGCAAAAGCUAGCGCAGCUCACGAAGGGCGAGUACUCAAAUGUCAGUGCUACUUCUUAACCCAAGUCGCAAAUAUUCCUCAAGUACCCAUUAAGUGCCAAGCUAGGACAUUCUGCAACUCCCAACAUCCUAUUGUUAUGUUCUGUUUUUCAUCCUCUCCAAUUAAAUUGGAUUUAUCUCAAGGCAUAGGAUCUUUCACUUUACCGCCCUUUUAACCUGCUCAUUAGAGCUUUGCAUUAAAGUGGAAGCUUCUCAACCAAUUUGGAUGAAUGGAUGGAUGGAUUCAAAGGGGAAAGAAAAAGUAAAUUGGAAGCAUCUGCAGUCUCCGUUGUUACCACCAGUUCUCCUCCCCUUCUGGAAGAGUCUCUCUCUGAGUUCCUUGGUUGUGCCAUAUCCAAACACAAAGAGCCUGAGAUUUAGAAGUCAGUGGGUAAAGGCGGCAGAGACCCAAGAGAAUUUGGAGCUAGAGAAGUUCAGAGGUUUAGGGAGCUUUAGAGUGGAAGAAGUCUGGGGUAGUCGCCUUAAUAUCCUACAUUUAAAAGGAAGCAGAGAAAGAAGAGUUUUACAGGUUUUCUUACAUGUUCACAAUGUCCCCUUCACAUUCUGAAAAUACUGCAGGAAAGACUUGAAUUCUUUUCAAUGACUCUUUGGGUUCCCAGUUGGCGACUCUUUACUGUUAACUGCCUGCCUGGAUUGAAUCAUGCGUACCUGAACUUCCUAGAUUUUAUAAUUCAUGUCUUCAGGUUAACAUCUAAUCUAGGAAGUCUCUCCUGAAAAUACGUAUUUGGAUGAAUGUCAAUGGACGGGGUCAAUAAUAGACAUGAGAUCCAGGUCAUAGCGUUGCCCUUUCUUGAUCUGCUAGCCACACAAGCAAACCAGUAGCUGGAAAAUCAAACCCUAGGUUUAUUUUGGCGGACAUUAUUGGAAGUUUCAGUGCAUGGUUGGUGGACUCAUGGCUUUGGGAGUGGCAGUGCAUUAUGGUGGGAGCACAUGAAGAGGAAGCCCAUUUACCUCAUGACCAUGAUGAAGAGUUGCAGAGGCAAGAAGAGGUACCUGCCAGAGCAUCUGUGGAGACCAAGUAUCAUGCGCUAAGUGAAGCAAAAAUGUGGGCACAUGUGUCACAGUAAGAAUGGUCAGAUGAUAAAGAUGUUGGCAUUCAAAAUAAGGGUAAGAAUAUUGAAGAAGACGCCAAGUUGAAGAAAAAAAAAAACUUUCUGUAAGCUGCAGUUCUGUCUUCCCAAUUAGCCCAAGGAUUUUGGCCAGCUCCAACCUAAUUACCUAUGAGAACUAUGAAAACUAAUUAUGAGAACUAACUAUGUAGAUCUAAUAAAAGUAAAGAGAGUACAUUGUA